CCCGCACAAGCGGAGGAACAUUGUGGUUUAAUUCGAUGAUACGCGAGGAACCUUACCUGGGCUUAAAUGUAGAGUGCAUUUUUUAGAGAUAGAAAUUCCCUUCGGGGCUUUCUGCAAGGUGCUGCAUGGUUGUCGUCAGCUCGUGCCGUGAGGUGUCGGGUUAAGUCCCAUAACGAGCGCAACCCUUAUCGUUAGUUGCCAUCUGGUAAUGCAGGGGACUCUAGCGAAACUGCCACCGUAAGGUGAGAGGAAGGUGGGGAUGACGUCAAAUCAGCACGGCCCUUAUGUCCAGGGCUACACACGUGUUACAAUGGUCGGUACAGAGGGCAGCUACCUGGUGACAGGAUGCUAAUCUCGAAAACCGGUCUCAGUUCGGAUCGAAGUCUGCAACUCGACUUCGUGAAGCUGGAUUCGCUAGUAAUCGCGCAUCAGCUAUGGCGCGGUGAAUACGUUCCCGGGCCUU
rnacentral:rRNA from 1 species